rnacentral:rRNA from 1 species
GGGUUGUGAGGUUAAGCGACUAAGCGUACACGGUGGAUGCCCUGGCAGUCAGAGGCGAUGAAGGACGUGCUAAUCUGCGAUAAGCGUCGGUAAGGUGAUAUGAACCGUUAUAACCGGCGAUUUCCGAAUGGGGAAACCCAGUGUGAUUCGUCACACUAUCGUUAACUGAAUACAUAGGUUAACGAA